rnacentral:rRNA from 2 species
UGGGGAAUAUUGCACAAUGGGGGAAACCCUGAUGCAGCGACGCCGCGUGUACGAAGAAGGUAUUCGUAUCGUAAAGUUCUGUCCUAUGGGAAGAUAAUGACAGUACCAUAGAAGAAAGCUCCGGCUAAAUACGUGCCAGCAGCCGCGGUAAUACGUAUGGAGCGAGCGUUGUCCGGAAUUAUUGGGCGUAAAGGGUACGCAGGCGGUUUAAUAAGUCGAAUGUUAAAGAUCGGGGCUCAACCCCGUAAAGCAUUGGAAACUGAUAAACUUGAGUAGUGGAGAGGAAAGUGGAAUUCCUAGUGUAGUGGUGAAAUACGUAGAUAUUAGGAGGAAUACCAGUAGCGAAGGCGACUUUCUGGACACAAACUGACGCUGAGGUACGAAAGCGUGGGGAGCAAACAGG